AUUGAACGCUGGCGGCAGGCCUAACACAUGCAAGUCGAGCGAGCGGCGGACGGGGGAGUAAGGGCUGGGAAAAUGCCUGAUAGAGGGGGAUAACUACGGGAAACGGUAGCUAAUACCGCAUACCAUCAGAUGUGCGCAGAUGGGAUUGGCUAGUAGGUGGGGUAACGGCUCACCUAGGCGACGAUCCCUAGCUGGUCUGAGAGGAUGACCAGCAACACUGGAACUGAGACACGGUCCAGACUCCUACGGGAGGCAGCAGUGGGGAAUAUUGCACAAUGGGCGCAAGCCUGAUGCAGCCAUGCCGCGUGUGUGAAGAAGGCCUUCGGGUUGUAAAGCACUUUCAGCGGGGAGGCGUUACCCGCAGAAGAAGCACCGGCUAACUCCGUGCCAGCAGCCGCGGUAAUAC
rnacentral:rRNA from 1 species